UCAGGUUGACGCGUACCCGACGCGGCCGCUAGUAGACGGUAUUUUCGGUCAACUAUUGCAAAACCCUAGAAUGCAUUUUUAAACCGCAACACACACCUAUGUUGUUCCGUCUAUAUAUAUAGCGAACCAAAUGAUACUCGUAAGUCUAUCUCGUGGGGGAAGUGACGAGCAACGUCAUACAGAGAAAUGGUAGGCGCAGUUGGUUGGCAACUAUGGUAGCAACUCGUUGCACUAGUGAAUAGAAGCUUUACACUAUUUGAGUAGUUUAUUGUAAACAAAAAAUUAAACUAAGAUUCCCUUUCAUGCUGUUCUUAGGUGGUUUGGGACUAUGUGAUCUUUGCCAAUCGCAAAAUACAUCAAAUGUGUUGGCAUUUUGUGAUUGGCCGGGACCACAUGAUUACGGACUACCUAAUACUUUCUAGAUCCUCAAUAUCUUUAUAUAUGAAACUUUUUCAAGAUCUACACAUGGCAUUUAAUGUGAUAAAUUAACUGAAAUUCGAACAAGGAAAAUGAUUCUUAGUGUUAUACCGAUUUGUCUAACUUAAGGAUUCUUAUUCCUUCAAUGUAGUGGAUAAGACCCACAUUUGAGUUUAUCCACCACAUCAAAGGGAUAAAAACCUCUCAGCCUAACAAAUAGACGUGAGUAGCAGUACUCUUCUAUCAAAGCUUGUCCCACUGUCAAUAAUCAACUUCACUUAUUAUUCAUUAGUCAUACAAGAAAGUAAAAUUAAUGUUACAAUUAUUAAUAGUAGCAUAGAGUGGAUAGAUAAUAAAGCCAAUGAGUAUUAAAUCCAACAGUGCACAAAUAUUCUAGGAAUAAUGACUUUUUUAAUGUAUAUAUGAUCAUAAUUCCUUAAAAUAAUGCUUAAAUGCCAUGCACUCCUACAUUAAAAGAAUUUAUCAUAAUUUCUGAAAAUCUCAUUAAAUGCCAUGUACACCCACAUUAAAAUAAAUGAUCAUAAUUCCUUAAAAUAACAUUAAACUCCUGCAUUAAAAGAAAUUAUCAUAAUUUUUGAAAAUCUCAUAAAAUGCAUUCUAAACUAUUUGAUUAAUAUCUUUUAGAAAUAAUAUUUGAUUAAUUAUUGUAAAUUUAAAACCCUUAUUUUUGGAUUUGGUUUGAAGGUAGAUUUUAGAGAGAGAGAGAGUGAAGAGCGAAACACAGAAUGAAAGUGUGUUGAGCUAUUCUUUACAACAUCUAUAAUGGUUGCAGUAUAGUAAAUUUAUCAAAUUGAAAGGGCAUGUCAAUUUUUUACUCUUGUUUUAUUCAUAAACUCAAAGUAAGGAGCUUGUGUUCUUAACUGGGGCUGCAGGGACGGAGAUCUGAGUAGGAUCAAUUUAUUGAUAGCUUUGUUCUGAAGGCAUAUAUAAGUCUCAUCCUAAGUCUUGGUGGUUUAAUUUUAUCUGGAGUUUAUGACCUUCCUUUUGUGGCUUACCUUUCUUUGUUAAGUUUUCUAAUAGAUAUGUGUUUCUCAUUUUAUUUUAUUUUAUUUUAUUUAUUUAUUUUUUUUUUUGUGUUUAUUAGAAAAAUAUUGAUAAUUUUUAGUAAAAACAUUUCUAUAUGUCUAGAUUCUACUCAUAGUUGCUGAAAAGUUGAGGAAUAUGAGAUCAUAAAGCUUUAGUAUGUCAAGUAAGUUAGUAUGCAAAGUUUGCCUUAGUUUUGGAGAAUAUGCUGCUAGAUGUUUGUUUUGGAGGAUAUAAUACUAAAUAUUAGUUUGGAGAAUAUAAUGCUAAAUGAUUAUGUUUAAUGAAUUGCUUACUGAAAAAAUUGCUUAUUACCAUACUAGUGUUUUGGUUUCUGUUUUGUGUUGGAUUCAUAGUUUAGAAUCAGUUACUUGGUUUGGAAACAUUUGUUUCUAUAAUAUUUGUAAUAAUUUUUGGAAAAUAUGGUCUUCAUGAAUCUAUCUUACUAGCCUACUAUACUCUGAGUUGGUAAUGACAAUUGUGGAAAUAAUGCGAUAACUUGGGUAGUAACGGUCAGAACUGUACAUUUUAUUUCACAUCACUUUUCUAUCGGAUUCCCAAUCAAAAUGAUCUGUCUAUUUAUUUUUUAAGAAUUUAUGUUACAUGGACUCAAUAAGUGUGGAGGGUGCAGGGAUGGGUUUUAUUUAUUCUGUAUUUUCUUUUUUUGUCAUUCCAAGUAAUAGAAAGUGUCGCAUUUUAAAUGCAUUUUUCUAAGCAUUAGCUUGACUUAUACACAAGCACAGCAGAUUGUAUUGUAGGUUAACAAUAGCAAAAACCCCAAAAUGCAUUUUCAAGCGGCAUACGUAGCUCAAUUGUUCUGUUUGUAUAUAGCCAAUCAAAAAUGAUACUCGUCAGGGGAGUGAUUAGCAACUUCAUUACACUAUGUAAUAAUAAUAGUGAUAACGUCUAUAUAUUGUGAGAUGAUUUUAUGUGUGUGUGUUUGUGUAUUUUUGCCUCACCUUUCAGCUGCAAUGGCAUAGAUUUGAUGAUCUGUUUCUUGAUGGCUUUGUUCUGGAGGCAUAUAUUCAAUACCCCAAAGUUUUAGGGGUUUAUUAUUAACCAGAGUUGCUGUUCUUGCUACUCUGGUUUCCCCUUCUUUGGUAAAUUUCUAUUGUAAGAUUAAUUUUCUUUUUCUAUAGCAGCUCCGUGUUCUGUUUGGUUGCCUAGAAAUUGCAAGAAAUUAAGUUUAUGCUAAUGUUAAAUCUAAUCAGAAUUGGUGUGGCUCUAUUUUAGAUCCCUUUCAGUAUACAAGCUUUCCAAGUCUUCUAGGCAACCAUAAGGGUCAGAUGGAUCAUUUGUUGCAAGUUUGUGGCUUGAUGUCAAAGUAUAUCCAUCAUGUUUCUCAUAAGUUGAUUGAUAUACAGCAUUAGUUUGAUUGUAUUGGAUCUAGUAAAUUCAUCAAUGGUGUAUUGGAUUUAUUAAUUCAUCAAUGGUGGUCUUGGCACAAGACCUCUGCUGUAUCAUGAGACCACGAAGGUUAUAUUUUAUUACUCAAAGCAUGAACCAAACAAUGCAUUGUGUUCCUUUUUGGUCUACGGAGAAAUGCUAGUUGCAAUU